rnacentral:rRNA from 1 species
UAAUGUGUCCUUUUCUUCGGAACACCGGUGACAGGUGGUGCAUGGUUGUCGUCAGCUCGUGUCGUGAGAUGUUGGGUUAAGUCCCGCAACGAGCGCAACCCUUAUCCCCAGUAGCCAGCAUUUUGGAUGGGCACUCUGAGGAGACUGCCAGGGAUAACCUGGAGGAAGGGGGGGAUGACGUCAAAUCAUCAUGCCCCUUAUGACUUGGGCUACACACGUGCUACAAUGGCGUAAACAAAGGGAAGCGAGACCGUGAGGGGGAGCAAAUCCCAAAAAUAACGUCUCAGUUCGGACUGUAGUCUGCAACCCGACUACCCCAAGCUGGAAUCGCUAGUAAUCGCAAAUCAAAAUGCUGCGGUGAAUACCUUCCCGGGUCUUG